ensembl:snRNA U6 U6 spliceosomal RNA
GUGCUUGCUACUGCGGCACAUUUACUAAAAUUGGAUCGAUACUGAGAAGAUUAGCAUGGCCCCUGUGAAAGGAUGACACACAAAUCCAUGAAACACUCCAUAUUUUU